rnacentral:misc_RNA from 1 species
UUUUGAUUAGCUGGACGUCAUUGAUUUACUUCCGUGUUUGUUGACACAACGUGAAAUUAUAUUUUCCAGCAAUGUUUUUGGAAGUGACAAAAUGAACUAAUUACUUUGAUGAUAUUGUAGAAUAUUGUUGAAUUGUGACAACUGCAACUUGUUUGAUCAUGAUGAAUAGCCUCCGGUUCCGUCCAGAUACAAACAUCCGUGACCUCAAUGCAAAGGUCAUGAUACAUCUGCGUAACUCCCUCGACACAGCGCCAGAAACACAGAACUGGAGAGCUUUAGCGAGCAUCUUGGAACAUCCAUUUGGUUUUAAGUCUUUCGAGAUCGAGAAGAUGGCCAUGCAGAUUUAUAGCAGUGGAAGUCCGACGGAGCAGCUCAUUCUGGAGCUGGGGGCGCGUGGGAUGGUCGUCCAGGAACUCGUCCGAUAUCUCGAUACGCUGCGGCUUGAGGCCAUUUUAGUGGACUUCAAGAAUUAUGAGCCUAUACAAAUUACCUCGGAGCCGGAGUUAGAGGUGAAACUAUUCGAAGGAGACCCGUUGCGUCUGAUUGUCGAGGCAACUGGCUUCCCAUACCCACGGUUCCAGUGGUUCUUUGAAAACUCUGAGCUCACUGGGGCUAUAGAAAACACACUGAACAUACCAAAUAUUCGUGCAUCUCAGACGGGACACUACUGCUGUCGCUUGCACAACUGUGCUGACCCAACCCAGACCAAGUUUACUCGGCAUUCCCUCGUUAAGGUGUAUCCAGACAUGUGUACCCAUGCUGCUUAUAGUGGGGCUGAUGGGAAAACAUCACAACCUCGUUUGCAAAAAGUUCCAUCAGAUGAAAGGAAUGAUGUGGAAUAUGAUGAAGAGCUUGACAAGACUUGUAACCUGCCUGUUAUAGUGGAGCAGCCCCAGGAUGUGUUCACCAUCAAGGGGAGCCCAUUCCACAUUGUGUGCAAAGCCAGGAGUCGUUUCCCCUUGCGCUACACCUGGUAUCAUGAAGGCCAGUAUUUCCAUGAGACGCAAAUUCCACUGCUGGAGGUGGACAGCGCAUUGAGCAGUCACAGUGGGCGAUAUCAGUGUAUUGUGAGAAACGAUUUCGGGGAGGCACGCAGUCACCCGUUCAUGGUGACCGUUUCAGACUAUGAUACCCCAAGAGUAAUUAAAGCACCGGAAAUCAUCAGUCAGCCUAAAUCGUGCUCAGUUCAAGUGGGAGGGGUGGCGGUAUUUGUGGUGGAGGCGUGUGGAACCCAGCCCAUAACAUAUCAGUGGUUUAAAGAUUCAACACUCAUAUUUGGUCAGGAGUCGUCUGAAUUGCGGAUCUCCAACAUCCAGUCGCAGGUCUCGAACCUCCAGCCACAAGAGGUGCAGGUGGGCGUGUAUCAGUGUCUGUUGAAGAACGAGUAUGGAGCCAAGUUCUCGGAAGGAGCCGUUCUCGCCAUCGGCAGCGAGCUCCACACACUACAGGAAUAUCAUGCAAAAGACAAGUUUGCCCUACUCAUUGGUAAUUACUCGUACAAGGCUGAGAAUUCGCUAAACGCCCCGAAAGAAGAUAUCAAAACUCUGGCCGAGAUUUUCCGCAACCUGCAGUUCAAGGUGGUCUCCCUGUUGAACUUGACGAAGAACGAGAUGGUUGCCGCGGUCGAGGAGUUUUGUCGGUUGCUGGACGAUGGAGUCUACUGCGUGUUUUAUUUCUGCGGUCACGGCUUUGAAGAAACCCGCCAGUGUUACCUCGUGCCGGAAGACGCUCCCACCGGGUUCACCUGGGAGGACUGUGUGUGUGCCGAUCAGGUGCUGGAACGGAUGCAGAACAGAAACCCGGCCAUCUGCUGUAUGAUCCUCGAUAUCUGUCGCAGGCAAAACCAUGUAUCAUCUAGUUCCAUACCAAAGAUCAUUGAGCCACGCACCACGACCGCAGGCAACACCAUUAUCUGUUUUGCCACAAGUGCCGGGUGUGCUGCUUUCGAGCAGCCUCAGUGUGGAAUUCUGGUCUAUUUCCUGCAGCGCCAUCUGUCGAAGCCGAUCGGUAUUGAGGAAGUGUUUGCUUUAGUUCGGUCAGACAUGACCAAGAAUGACCGCUACAAGGGUAAACAGAUUCCUGAGGUACGGACCAACCUGACACAGCCGCUUCGCUCGCUGGCAGACAGGAUCAAGUACCAGGGGGGAGGAACGCAGGCGUUUCUACGACGACAGUUUCUGUGGGAAGCAGCACACCGUCGACCUCCGACCCGCACCAUCGAGGUGAAACCCCAUGAGCUGGGUAUCGAGCUGGAGCUGGACUUCCAGUCGGAGUUCUCUAACGUCUUGCACAUCUUCGUCACCGUCAAGAAGAAAGACAAACUGUCCGAGUGCAGCGCCUGGGUCGCCAAGAUACCAAAUACGUUGUCGAUCAUGGACCAACCCUGUUUCGUCUCCAGUCCAGACUGCCCGUUCAAGAAGACGAAGAACAUUAUCCAGGACAUUCAGAAGUUGAAGGACAGCAUGGUGGUGACGAUCGCCGUGCGGUACAGACGGACAGACAGCCGACAGGAGGAGAUAAUCGACUGCGAGACGGUCGAUCUUGGAUUUCCUCUCAUUGCCGAACUCAAGUUGUGGCAGCCGCGCACACUGUCCGCGUCAGGGCACCCCGUCGAGCAGAUGGAAGACUUAUCGUUGUGAUCAUCUAGCAUUUAUCAUCAGUAUCGGGGACAUAACAUAGUCGUGAAUUUAUCAUCAGUAUUGGGGACAUACAUGUAACACAGUCGUGAGUUUAUCAUCAGUAUCAGGGACGUAACAUAGUCAGAAAUUUAUCAUCAGUAUCGGGAAACAUAACAUAGUCAAGAAUUUAUCAUCAGUAUCGGGGACAUAACACAGUCAUGAAUUUAUUAUCAGUAUCGGGAAACAUAACACAGUUGUGAAUUUAUCAUCAGUAUCGGGGACAUAACACAGUAAUGAAUUUAUCAUCAGUAUUUGGGACAUAACAUAGUCGUGAAUUUAUCAUCAGUAUCGGGGAAACAAUGGAUGGAAGACUUGUUGUGAUCAGGUCUCACUACACAGAUCACUUCCGGGUGAGAGUUCAUUGAUCCUAAUUGUGUCACAUGUUAGCUUCUUUGU